rnacentral:rRNA from 1 species
UAGGGAAUAUUGGUCAAUGGGCGCAAGCCUGAACCAGCCAUGCCGCGUGCAGGAUGAAGGCCCUCUGGGUUGUAAACUGCUUUUAUAUGGGAAUAAAAAGCCCUUGCGAGGGUUAUUGAAGGUACCAUAAGAAUAAGCACCGGCUAACUCCGUGCCAGCAGCCGCGGUAAUACGGAGGGUGCAAGCGUUAUCCGGAUUUACUGGGUUUAAAGGGUGCGUAGGCGGCUCUUUAAGUCAGUGGUGAAAGCCUAGUGCUUAACACUAGAACUGCCAUUGAAACUAAAGAGCUUGAAUCAAGGAGAGGUAAGUAGAAUUUAUAGUGUAGCAGUGAAAUGCUUAGAUACUAUAAGGAAUACCAACAGCGAAGGCAGCUUACUGGCCUUGUAUUGACGCUGAGGCACGAAAGCGUGGGGAGCAAACAGGAUUAGAGACCCUGGUAGUCCACGCUGUAAACGAUGAUCACUCGAUGUACACACUUGAUGUGUG